UAGGGGAAUCUUCCACAAUGGGCGAAAGCCUGAUGGAGCAACGCCGCGUGUGUGAUGAAGGGUUUCGGCUCGUAAAACACUGUUGUAAGAGAAGAAUGACAUUGAGAGUAACUGUUCAAUGUGUGACGGUAUCUUACCAGAAAGGAACGGCUAAAUACGUGCCAC
rnacentral:rRNA from 1 species